UUAUGCGAUUUUUCAAUUCAAUUCAGACGGCAACGUUUGAGAGGUUUUGGUUUGGUCCUCCGGCGGAAGCUCGGCAGCCCCGGUGGGAGCCGCCGGGAGAGAUUCCCCGUUCCGCCGAAGCAACGCCGGUACUACAAGCAUGGGAUGGAGGCAUCCGGCCGGGGGCCGGGCCACUUUUGAAUAAUGAUCCUUCCGCAGGUUCACCUACGGAAA
rnacentral:misc_RNA from 1 species